UUUUAAUAUGGGCCUCAUCGGAAACAUCGCAGUGGGUGUAGGUGGAGUUUGAUGGGCCUAGGGCUUGAGCCACCGCGUGGCCUAAUUCGUCUUGGAUGUCUGCAAUCACAACUUUGGCUCCGUGGUGGGCAAAGACUUUGGCGGUGCAUUCGCCAAUUCCACUUGCACCUCCUGUGACUAGGGCUACUUUUCCCUCUAGCCUUUUUGCAACUGCAGAGAUUAAUGAAGCCGCCAUAGAUAACUCUCUCUCUCU
rnacentral:misc_RNA from 1 species